rnacentral:rRNA from 1 species
GAUGAACGCUGGCGGCGUGCCUAAUACAUGCAAGUCGAGCGAACAGACGAGGAGCUUGCUCCUCUGACGUUAGCGGCGGACGGGUGAGUAACACGUGGAUAACCUACCUAUAAGACUGGGAUAACUUCGGGAAACCGGAGCUAAUACCGGAUAAUAUAUUGAACCGCAUGGUUCAAUAGUGAAAGACGGUUUUGCUGUCACUUAUAGAUGGAUCCGCGCCGCAUUAGCUAGUUGGUAAGGUAACGGCUUACCAAGGCAACGAUGCGUAGCCGACCUGAGAGGGUGAUCGGCCACACUGGAACUGAGAAACGGUCCAGACUCCUAAGGGAGGCAGCAGUAGGGAAUCUUCCGCAAUGGGCGAAAGCCUGACGGAGCAACGCCGCGUGAGUGAUGAAGGUCCUCGGAUCGUAAAACUCUGUUAUUAGGGAAGAACAAAUGUGUAAGUAACUAUGCACGUCUUGACGGUACCUAAUCAGAAAGCCACGGCUAACUACGUG